ACAAAUAUACAGUUAGUUAUAAACUUUCUACACCAAUUUUGGGACGAGUUGGGCCUAUAUUUUUUUUGUCUACGAAAACCCGUCUAGACCGCUUUUUCGAUUAAACCGGUUUGACUGAUUUGGGUUUAGCGAUUUUGAUCUGCUGGAUUUUUUUUUGCCGCCUCUGGUUCUCGCCGUCGCCGGUUACGUCUCUUCUACAUCCACUCGCUUUCUUGUCUGGUUUGCGAUCUUCGGUGUCUCCCUGUCUGUGCUCUGCUCUCUUUUAGGGGAAUCUUUCUCAAUCGAUAUCCUCAUCUCAAUCACUCUAUAUUUAUUAAUUAUCUCUGUUACCGGACCGGAGACAUAAGCUGAGUUACAUGAUGCUACUACUACUACUACUAGUUGGACAACAGAGAGAAUGCCUUGAAUGAAACACAGAGAAAUGAAGUUUUGGGGAGGCUUUUUAGUGAUCGUUGGUUCCAUUUCCUUUGUUGGAUUUGUGUUUGCAGCUAUAGUCUCCAAAUUGUUUCCACUCUCUCACAAUCCCAUUAUCCAAGCUAUUCAGAAUGACAGGUACUACUGCUUCUUGGCUCCACUGACAUUACCAGCUCUACUGGUUGCUGUUUACUUUCAUUGGCUUAGCAUGAAGCUCUUCAAGCACGCAUGAUACACAUUUACGUAGCAAACAUCUUUCUCCAAGGUGCAUAUGAUGUCUUUGCAGAGGGAACAAUAACAUCUGGUCCGAAGCAUUCUUCUGAGGCUGUCCGAUCACAGUUGUUUUGUCACAUCUCAUGGUUGGAAGGAAUUGUGGAUUUUCUGGAGAUGAGUUUUGUGUAGAAUGCUUAUAAGCACGGUUCGAUUACUACAUUGUUGCAGACUCCGAAAGAUUCAAUAUUGUAACCCGGGAUAUAUCACUGCUACUUUUUUUUUUUUUUGGUGUGCUAUACUUGCUAUUAUUAUCUAUCUUUAGAAAGCAGAUGGUAACCAACUUCACUGA